GACGCUGGCGGCGUGCCUAACACAUGCAAGUCGUAAACGGUAACUUUUUUAAAAGAUUUCUUCGGAAUGUAAUUUGAUUAAGUUUAGUGGCGGACGGGUGAGUAACGCGUGAGUAACCUGCCUCUAAGAGGGGAAUAACAUUCUGAAAAGAAUGCUAAUACCGCAUAACAUAUAUUUAUCGCAUGGUAGAUAUAUCAAAGAUUUAUCGCUUAGAGAUGGACUCGCGUCCGAUUAGUUAGUUGGUGAGGUAACGGCUCACCAAGACCGCGAUCGGUAGCCGGACUGAGAGGUUGAACGGCCGCAUUGGGACUGAGACACGGCCCAGACUCCUACGGGAGGCAGCAGUGGGGGAUAUUGCGCAAUGGGGAAACCCCUGACGCAGCAACGCCGCGUGAAGGAUGAAGGUCUUCGGAUUGUAAACUUCUUUUAUUAAGGACGAAGAAAGUGACGGUACUUAAUGAAUAAGCUCCGGCUAACUACGUG
rnacentral:rRNA from 1 species